rnacentral:rRNA from 1 species
AACGAACGCUGGCGGCAUGCCUAACACAUGCAAGUCGAACGAGACCUUCGGGUCUAGUGGCGCACGGGUGCGUAACGCGUGGGAACCUGCCCUUAGGUUCGGAAUAACUCCCCGAAGGGGGUGCUAAUACCGGAUAAUGUCUUCGGACCAAAGAUUUAUCGCCUUUGGAUGGGCCCGCGUUGGAUUAGCUAGUUGGUAGGGUAAAAGCCUACCAAGGCGACGAUCCAUAGCUGGUCUGAGAGGAUGAUCAGCCACACUGGGACUGAGACACGGCCCAGACUCCUACGGGAGGCAGCAGUGGGGAAUAUUGGACAAUGGGCGAAAGCCUGAUCCAGCAAUGCCGCGUGAGUGAUGAAGGCCUUAGGGUUGUAAAGCUCCUUUACCCGGGAUGAUAAUGACAGUACCGGGAGAAUAAGCUCCGGCUAACUCCGUG